GGCCCUAUCGUCUAACGGUUAGGACACAAGGUUCUCAUCCUUGAAAUCGGGGUUCGAUUCCCCGUGGGGCUGCCA
rnacentral:tRNA from 3 species